UACGAAGGGAGCUAGCGUUGUUCGGAAUCACUGGGCGUAAAGCGCACGUAGGCGGCCGUGUCAGUCAGGGGUGAAAUCCCGGAGCUCAACUGCGGAACUGCCUUUGAUACAGCACGUCUUGAGUCCGGAAGAGGUGGGUGGAAUUCCUAGUGUAGAGGUGAAAUUCGUAGAUAUUAGGAAGAACACCGGUGGCGAAGGCGGCCCACUGGUCCGGUACUGACGCUGAGGUGCGAAAGCGUGGGGAGCAAACAGG
rnacentral:rRNA from 1 species